rnacentral:rRNA from 1 species
UUUUAUCAGAGAGUUUGAUCCUGGCUCAGGAUGAACGCUGGCGGCGUGCUUAACACAUGCAAGUCGAGCGAAGCAGUUAAGUUGAUUUCUUCGGAUUGAUUCUUAACUGACUGAGCGGCGGACGGGUGAGUAACGCGUGGGUGACCUGCCCCAUACCGGGGGAUAACAGCUGGAAACGGCUGCUAAUACCGCAUAAGCGCACAGA